rnacentral:rRNA from 1 species
UACGUAGGGGGCAAGCGUUAUCCGGAUUUACUGGGUGUAAAGGGAGCGCAGACGGCAGUGCAAGUCUGGAGUGAAAGCCCGGGGCCCAACCCCGGGACUGCUCUGGAAACUGUACGGCUAGAGUACGGGAGGGGCAGGCGGAAUUCCUAGUGUAGCGGUGAAAUGCGUAGAUAUUAGGAGGAACACCGGCGGCGAAGGCGGCUUACUGGACUGUAAAUGACGCUGAGGCUCGAAAGCGUGGGGAGCAAACAGG